GGCCUUAAAUGAGCGAGGGCCCAAGGCCCCGGGACCGACACGUUCUACCCUGUCCUUUAGAUACCUCUACCUCCUCCCCGGCCAAGCGCCGGGCUGGCUACUUGAAAAAACCUUGCAGUUUACAGUCAAUUCAGUACAAAAACAAAACAAAAUUACAACUUUCAACAAUGGAUCUCUUGGCUCUGGCAUCGAUGAAGAACGCAGCGAAAUGCGAUAAGUAGUGUGAAUUGCAGAAUUCAGCGAAUCAUCGAAUCUUUGAACGCACAUUGCGCCCUUCGGUUAUUCCUUAGGGCAUGCCUGUUCGAGCGUCAUUUCAGCCUUCAAGCCCCGCUUGGUGUUGGGCGCUGUCCCGCCUCUGCGCGAGGACUCGCCCCAAAUGAAUUGGCAGUCGCACCCCCGAUACGCGAGCGCAGCAAAGUCGCGCGAGCCGAACCGGCAGGGACGGACGCUCCACGAGACCCACCACAGUCUUGACCUCGGAUCAGGUAGGGAUACCCGCUGAACUUAAGCAUAUCAAUAAGCGGAGGAA
rnacentral:rRNA from 1 species